CAUUGCACUUGUCUCGGUCCGA
rnacentral:ncRNA from 3 species